AUGGAAGGAAAGUGUGCUGUAUUAUACAGCUAUUGUUUUAUUUUCAUGACUAGUGUACAUGUGUUGGAUAUGCACACUAACAUGGAAUGAAAGGAUGAUGUAUAGUGGGUUGAAAUAAAAGUAUCAAUGGUCUUUUGUUGGAAAGCUCAGGAGCAAAUUAUUAUUAGGCUUCUCCUUCAAUUUGCAAAUUGCAUUUAGAAGAAUGGCUACACAGUGUUGUAGAAAUUCAACUCAGAUCAUGAAGUUAAUUUGUGUCAUCCAUUGAUGUAGUCAAGUCUUCAAGGAAUGUGGAAAUUGAUAUUGAGACCAUACAGAAGAUUGAAGUGUUAGGAUACUUGGCACAAAUCUCAGUAUAUUGUCCUUGUUUCUAGAAGGAAUUAGGGUACGCUCAGAAAUAUGAGUCUUCCUUUUGCUAAUUCUUUCAAGCACUUUUGCAUUCAUUAUCCAUUCUUAGGUCUUUAGCUAAAAAUGUUACAUGACUGAUAAGAUUUUGUCAGCUCUAGAUUGUGUGGCUAAUUAAUGGGUUUUGAUAAAUUUGUAAUGCUGUAUUAGUGAAUUUACACGUUCUGUUGGUAUUAUCACUUUGGACUCAUCUUAUACACAAGACGUGCCAACAUAUCGUGAUUGCUGUAUUUAUUGUUUUGCCAGCCUGCUAUACAAAAUCUGGGGAGUUUGUUGGCUUGAAAAUUUCCUGUAACUGCUUUAUGGGUGAAAUUCGAGGUCUUGUUAGAGUCUAAAGUGGGCAGGAAUUGGAAAGUUCAGGUUUAGAAGGGUGUAGGCUUGGGAAGUAAAAUUAUUACAGGAAGCUUGGUUUUAGGGAUGUUGUAGGACUGAAUUAGGCAAGCAAGCAAUAGAAUAGUUGGGCGUCACACCUAAACAUCCUUAGGCAU
rnacentral:misc_RNA from 1 species